rnacentral:rRNA from 1 species
UACGGGAGGCAGCAGUGGGGAAUAUUGCACAAUGGGCGAAAGCCUGAUGCAGCUAUGCCGCGUGUAUGAAGAAGGCCUUAGGGUUGUAAAGUACUUUCAUCGGGGAGGAAAAACAAAACUAAUAAUUUUAUUUCUUGACGUUACCCGAAAAAGAAGCACCGGCUAACUCCGUGCCAUCAGCCGCGGUAAUACGGAGGGUGCUAGCGUUAAUCAGAAUUACUGGGCGUAAAGAGCACGUAGGUGGUUUUUUAAGUCAGAUGUGAAAUCCCUGGGCUUAACCUAGGAACUGCAUUUUGAAACUGAAAUACUAGAGUAUCGUAGAGGGAGGUAGAAUUCUAGGUGUAGCGGUGAAAUGCGUAGAUAUCUGGAGGAAUACCUGUGGCGAAAGCGGCCUCCUAAACGAAUACUGACACUGAGGUGCGAAAGCGUGGGGAGCAAACAGGGAUUAGAUACC